rnacentral:rRNA from 1 species
CCUACGGGAGGCAGCAGUGGGGAAUAUUGCACAAUGGGGGAAACCCUGAUGCAGCGAAGCCGCGUGAGUGAAGAAGGUUCUCGGCUUGUAAAGCUCUGUUAGCAGGGAAGAGGAAGGACGGUACCUGCGGAGGAAGCCCCGGCUAACAACGUGCCAGCAGCCGCGGUAAUACGUAGGUAGCAGGCGUUGUUCGGAAUAACUGGGCGUAAAGGAUGCGUAGGCGGUUAAACAAGUUAGAUGUUAAAUAUAUAGGCCAAACCUGCAGAAAGCAUAUAAAACUGUUUAACUAGAGUGCAGGAGAGGUAAGUGGAAUUCCUGGUGUAGCGGUGAAAUGCGUAGAGAUUAGGAAGAACACCAGUGGCGAAGGCGACUUACUGGACUGUAACUGACGCUGAGGCAUGAGAGCAUGGGGAGCAAACAGGAUUAGAUACCCCUGUAGUC